rnacentral:rRNA from 1 species
CCCUUAGAUGUCCUGGGCCGCACGCGCGCUACACUGAUGCAUUCAACGAGUUUUACCUUGGCCGAGAGGCCUGGGCAAUCUUUUAAACCUGCAUCGUGAUAGGGGUAGAUUAUUGCAAUUAUUAAUCUUGAACGAGGAAUUCCUAGUAAACGCAGAUCAUCAAUCUGCAUUGAUUACGUCCCUGCCCUUUGUACACACCGCCCGUCGCACCUACCGAUUGAAUGGUCCGGUGAAGCCUCGGGAUUGUGGCCAGUUCACUUUAUUGGGAGUUGGCUGCGAGAACUUGUCUAAACCUUAUCAUUUAGAGGAAGGUGAAGUCGUAACA